GUAAGAGCUUGCUCGCCGUAAUCUGAAAUAUGCAUUCCCCAUGUCGUUAUCAUUUCAGUUUAGUGCUUUACUGCGAAGUGAGCUUUUUGGAAUUUUCGUCUAUUUGGCAAAAAGGAUUAUAUAAAAAAAGUAGAGAAGAAGAAAAAAAAAAAAAAGUGUAAGAGCUUGCUCGCCAUAAUCUGGAGUAGGGGCAUGUCGUUACCAUUGCAAUUCAAUGCUUUAGUGUGAAGUGAGCCUUUUGAAAUCUUCAGCCAUUGGCAAAAAUGAUUAUAUAAUACAGGAGGGAGUAUGAAGAAGUGAAAAAAAAUGAAAUAAAAGUUUACAGAUAGUAAAAGGCCUUAAGAGUGUCUAGGAAAGUUUAAUAUCCUCACACCUCAAGACUCUCGAAAUCUUAACCUCCAUUUCGUCAUCUCUCCUCAUUAAUGGUGCGGUAAAAUCAAAUAAAGAAAUAUUUUUAAUUACAAGUUUGAAUCAAGACCAUAACCAAUCUAACUUCAAUAGUGUCACCUUGCUGCAUAAAUUUCUUAUACAUAUGUGCACUCAAACUCUUCCUAAAUAAAUUGCUCAUUUUGUUGAAUUAAGGUAAUUUUUUUCUUCCUCUUAAAUUAUUUUUCAUUGCCCUUUCAUGCUCCUAAUGUCUGUGAAACUAACAUCGCGACUACGAUCACUCACUCAUGAUCACCUGUGUAUCUUCAACAAGUGCUCCUACUACAAUUUUUUAGUAAGAAACUGCUUCAAUAUUGUCUAUGAAUAUGCAUUGUCUUUGCUUGUUAGGUGCAAAUUGAGAGAAGAAAUAAUGUUGUCGGGGCCUCUAAUACUUGCUUGUUAGAUGGAAAUUGAGAGAAGAAACAACACUAUUAGAGCCUCUAAUACUUCUGGAGUGUUUGCGAAUAUUAUACUUUAUAUAGAGCUUAACUUUCAAGAGAGCUUAGAAAAUCUCUUACCUUUGAAACCAUUGAACUCCAAUGGUAUUGUGUUUAUUCCACGUCAUAAUAAUGUUUUUUUAGCCAAUUAACCUGAACGAUGUCCAGUUUCAAAAGUGUCCAUGGAUUAGAAGUUAGGAUUGUUCAACCAAUCUUUUUUUUAAGGUAAUUGUCCAACCGAUCUCUGAGUGACUCAGUAACAGUGGGACUCACAAGUUAGUCAGUUUAACUUGAGUUAAAUUUUUUUCAUGUGUAUGAUAUCUCAGUGCCUACAUAUUUCAUGUGUCCAACCAAUCUUUUAGAUCUGACUUCUUUUAGUAUCUGUAUUAAGUGUUUUUUUUCUUCAGAAUUUCAUGUCUUAAACUGCUAGAUCUGAUGCCAUCUUUGUGAAACUACGUCAUGAAACAAUGGUGAUAUUGUUUGUGUUUUUCUUGGUUUUGCUGUCCGAAUUAGGAAGUGGGGAAUGAUCAAAUUACAAAUACCUUCCUUGGCAUUUCUGCUAGAUCUGGGCUCCAAAUUGCAAUUGUGUUAUUUUCGAUUUUGACCUGAACAAGAUUCAACUGCCAAUUCAAGGGCUACUUUCUUAUUAAGAAUGCUAAUGGAAGGUAUUCAAUAUUCUGGUGCUAAUGCAUCAAUGGGGGUUGAUAAUAGCUUGUGGAUGGAUAAUUUCUGCAAUAAUUUUAGAGUUGAAGUAAUUCAACUUACAAAAGGUGAGAUUGAGUUUGAUAUGAUCGGGAUUGAUGCUUCACUGGCCAAUGCAUUUAGGAUGAUUCUCAUCACUAAGGUACAUCUUUAAAAUUGGUAUGUUUUUCUUAUAUUUUUCUUUAUAAUUUUCCAGAUAUAGUGUGCUAUCAAUUGGGUUUCAUCCAAAUUGAUUUGUUUGUUUGGUAUUCCUUUUUUUUUUUUUUAAUUAUUACUUGGGCUGAUGUUUGGAAUCUUUGGAUAUUAAAGUUUACUUAUUUAUAUUCUUCCUUUUGUGCGGUGAUCAUUGUUGGUGAUUUUGUUUUUUUGUUUUUUUUGGGGUUCUCACUUAAGUUAAUUUUGUUUUUCAUGGUGACCAUUGUUAUAUUUUUUUAUUUUUUUUUCCACAUGAAAUUGAAAGUCCCUCUGGAUAGGGAUCUUGCAGAAUUAGGAUUAAGCUCUAAUCUCGAUUUUGAUGACCCAUGCCCUUCAUGUCAGAUUCGAAGGUGCUGGCAAUUCUUUUCUCCUUUCAAUCACAAUUUUCAAUCAUUUAGUUUCUUUUUCCAACUUAAAAUAACUGUGAUUAUGUAGGGAAACUUCCUUUGUGUGACAGAAUCUGAUUUGGAGGA